rnacentral:rRNA from 1 species
UGGAUAAUCAACCUCUUGCUCUGGAAUACCCCGGGGGAAACUCGGAUCAAUGCCAGAUAAAGUGCGGUGCUGUUGGGUGCCGUACCAAAGAUAGCUUCGGCCUUCGGCGAGAGACGAGUCCGCGGCCCAUUAGCUAGUUGGCGGGGUAAUGGCCCACCAAGGCUACGAUGGGUANCUGGUCUGAGAGGAUGAUCAGCCACACGUGGGACUGAGACNCGGCCCAGGACUCCCGUAACGGGG